UACGAAGGGGGCUAGCGUUGUUCGGAAUUACUGGGCGUAAAGGGCGCGUAGGCGGCGACUCUAGUCAGAUGUGAAAGUCCUGGGCUUAACCUGGGGACUGCAUUUGAUACUGGGUUGCUUGAAUUCGGGAGAGGAUAGCGGAAUUCCCAGUGUAGAGGUGAAAUUCGUAGAUAUUGGGAAGAACACCGGUGGCGAAGGCGGCUAUCUGGACCGACAUUGACGCUGAGGCGCGAAAGCGUGGGGAGCAAACAGG
rnacentral:rRNA from 1 species